rnacentral:misc_RNA from 1 species
GAUGAAGAACGCAGCGAAAUGCGAUAAGUAGUGUGAAUUGCAGAAUUCAGUGAAUCAUCGAAUCUUUGAACGCACAUUGCGCCCCUUGGUAUCCCGAGGGGCAUGCCUGUUCGAGCGUCAUUUCACCACUCAAGCCUGGCUUGGUGUUGGGCGACGUCCCCUUUAGGGACGCGCCUCGAAACGCUCGGCGGCGUGGCACCGGCUUUAAGCGUAGCAGAAUCUUUCGCUUUGGAAGUCGGGGCCCCGCCUGCCGGAAUACCUACUCGUAAGGUUGACCUCGGAUCAGGCAGGGAUACCCGCUGAUCUUAAGCAUAUCAAUAAGCGGAGGA